ensembl:snRNA U2 U2 spliceosomal RNA
AUCGCUUCUCGGCCUUUUGGCUAAGAUCAAGUGUAGUAUCUGUUCUUAUCAGUUUAAUAUCUGAUACGUCCCCUACCCGGGGACCAUAUAUUAAAUAGAUUUUUGGAACAGGGAGAUGGAAUAGGGGCUUGCUCCGUCCACUCCACGCAUCGACCUGGUAUUGCAGUAUCUCCAGGAAAGGUGCACUCCCU